UCUCAGAGAAUAAGGUCCAGAUGGACCCUAGCAAGGUCAGUGCUGUGGUCAAUUGGUCUACUCCAACCAGCUGCAAAAAGUUGCAACAGUUCUUAGGGUUCGCUAACUUUUACCGGAGGUUUGUUCGAAAUUUCGGUGCCAUUGCGUCCCCUUUGCAUGCUCUCACCUCUUCCAAGGUUCCGUUUGUGUGGAAUCCUCAGGCGGAGCGAGCCUUCCAACAGCUGAAGGAAAGGUUCACCACGGCUCCCAUACUCACGGUUCCAGACCCGCGACGGCAGUUUGUGGUGGAGGUGGAUGCCUCAAAUGUCGGCAUUGGAGCCAUUCUGUCACAGAAGUCGGCCAAGGACAACAAACUCCACCCUUGUGCCUUCUUCUCACGUAAAUUGACUCCAGCUGAGAAGAACUACGACAUAGGCAACAAGGAACUUUUAGCAGUCAAAGUUGCAUUAGAGGAAUGGAGGCACUGGUUGGAGGGGGCGGAGCAGCCUUUUUUGGUCUGGACGGACCAUAAAAAUCUUGAGUACUUAAGGAAUGCCAAGAGACUUAACUCUCGCCAGGCCAGGUGGUCCCUCUUUUUCAAUCGCUUUAACUUCUCACUUUCUUACAGACCUGGGUCCCAAAAUACCAAGCCUGACGCUCUGUCCCGUCUGUAUGAUCCUGAGCCUGCUGCCAAGGAACCUGAACAUAUCCUACCACUUAACAGUGUGGUAGGAGGAGUUUCAUGGCAAAUAGAAUCAGAGGUGAAGAGUGCUAAUGGGGUGAGCCCGGCACCUAGUGGUUGUCCUCAAGACCGGUUGUUUGUCCCAGUGUCCCUCCGUCCACAGGUUAUCCACUGGGCUCACACGUCGGUGCUCACCUGUCAUCCAGGGGUAAGAAGAACUGUGUUUUUCAUUAAGCAGAGGUUCUGGUGGCCGGCCAUGGAAAGAGCAGUCAAGGAGUACGUGGGGGCUUGUCCGAUCUGUGCACAAAACAAAUUCUCUUCCAGAGCACCGAUGGGACUGCUUCAGCCUCUCCCUGUCCCACACCGCCCCUGGUCAGAUAUAUCCAUGGACUUCGUCACCGGUCUCCCCUACUCGGAAGGUAACACCACUGUGCUGACGGUGGUAGACAGGUUUUCUAAAAUGGCUCAUUUCAUUGCUCUACCCAAGCUCCCCUCAGCCAAAGAAACAGCAGACGUUAUGAUGAACAAUGUUUUCAGGCUCCAUGGGUUCCCCAGAGACAUUGUAUCGGAUCGUGGACCGCAGUUUAUUUCCAAGUUUUGGAAGGAGUUCUGCCAUCUCCUAGGUGCCACCGUCAGUCUCACUUCCGGUUAUCAUCCUCAGUCUAAUGGUCAGACUGAGAGGCUUAACCAGGAGCUGGAGACCUGCCUCCGCUGCUUAGUCUCACCGAACCAGGCCUCCUGGAGUAAGCACCUCACAUGGGUAGAUUAUGCCCACAACACACUUCCUACCUCUGCUACCGGGCUCUCACCCUUUCAGUGUGCUUAUGGAUAUCAGCCUCCGUUGUUUCAAGAGACAGAGGGUGAGGUCACAGUCCCCUCUGCCCAUGCCAUGGUACGUCGCUGCCACCGCAUCUGGGCUGCGGCUCGCAGGGUCCUGCUGCGUAGCGCCACAAGGAUGAAGAGUGUUGCAGAUCGGCAACGUCGGCCUGCUCCAUGCUACAGGCCAGGUCAGAAAGUCUGGCUGGCCACCAAGGACUUGCCUCUCCAUGUCAUGUCACCAAGGUCAAACCACUCACCGAGAGCACCUUGGUUCCCGCCUCCAAGCCCCCACCCCCACCCCGGAUUGUGGAUGGCGGUCCAACAUACACUGUCAAAAGGCUUUUGGCUGUCCGUAAGAGAGGACGAGGGAGGCAGUUCCUGGUGGAUUGGGAGGGUUAUGGCCCAGAGGAGAGGUCUUGGAUCCCAUCCAGUUUCGUGGUGGAUCGAUCCUUAAUAGAGGACUUUGACAGGCAAUAUCUUCAGGUGCCUGGGCCGUCAGGAGCCGUCCUUAGAAAGGGGGGUACUGUCAUGUCACGCAAAGUUUGUUAAUUCUGUUGAGCCAAGUUAAUACCACUCAUGUCAUUCACUUCCUGUUUUAUUUUGUAGUUCCCUUUUCCCUCUCGUUUCAGGCACUUGACUUUCUCAACUGUGAUUGCCUCCCCGGUCUCUGAUUCGUCUCACCUGUGUUCCCCUCCCUCAUGUAUAAAUAGCCCUUGUUUUCCUUUGUCUAAUGUCAGUUCGCCUUGCGUCCCUAGCGUAUUGUCAAGCCUCAGGAUUUGUUCGUUUUUGACACUUGCAGACACUACUGUAUUUAACUGUUUUGUAUACUCCUAAGCGAGCACCUUUUGGUUAUAGUUUUGUAUCCUCCAUGAGAGCGUUUUUUGUUACCUUUUUCUAGUAAAGCGUUUUGGUUUAAACAUA